rnacentral:tRNA from 1 species
UCUAAUGUGGCAGAAUAAUGCAAUGGCCUUAAACCCCAGCAAUAAAGAUCACUCUUUCUUUAGAA